CUAACAUGCUCUUCUCCAUGUACGCGUCGUGCCGUGGUGUGCAGCGCGCGUGAGCCGGCUGACGGAAAGCCGGCGCGGAUAUCACGAUUAACGCCGAGAACCUCACCGCAGAGGCUGCGAUCAAGACUGGCGUCACGGGCCCGGUGGUAUCAAGCUAAAAAAGAAGGGUAAACUGAAGUUUGUCGGAACAGUGAAUGGGGCUCUAACUGUGCUUGUUUUCCUUGCGUUCAGGAAACGCAAAGUCCGUGCCAUGAAGAACCGGAAUGAAAAAGGUCUAAAAUACUAACACUAUUCCAUCGUCUGCAAGGUUGUACGCAACAUACUUUAGGAAUUACUUUUACAUCGCUUUUCGAAGUUCUCCAAGGAAACUAAAAGGAUUGUCAACUACAAUGUUGACAAUCGAAUUAUUAUUUAUUGGUUUGAAGUUGGUCAUGUGCAUUCCAUUUGCUGUUAUGACAGAUUCAUCGGAAGACAUGACAGGACUCCAGUACCUGCACAAGCACCUAUCUUCCUCCGAAGCUGAACUCGUGCUCCGCAGUCGGCAGUUUUCUCUUAAUUUGACAAUGGGGGCCAGUGAUAAGGCACCGGAAAAUUUUGAGAUUAGCCUUACAAACGGAAAACUAUUACAGACAAGCAGCGCAGGGAGUUCUCCAGACUCCAGAGAAAGGUGUCAAUAUAUAAUGGAUAACGCAAUAUCGUGCCACAUUUCUAUAAUUGGCUGGAACGCCACAUACGACGGAGAAAUGAAGCACGCAAAUUUAGGAAGCGAGAAGUUUCGUGUAACCAUUAUUCUUCAAAAAUACGACCUCCCACUGAACCCUGCUGAUAUUUGGAUAUACAUGAAGUUUGCAGACACCUCCUCAGGUCGUUACACCAGCACAACACCUUCAGAUUUUGUGCUGGAUAUGAGUACACUUCCUCCUUUGACACAACUUGGCGUGUUACAAAAGAACGGCCUCUCAGAAAGUGCGUGGGAUAAACUAAAGAAGAUAAUGUAUUGGAAUCUCAAGACAGAUCUAAUACAUGCGAUGAUAACGAAGUACAAAGAAUGGGUUGAGAAAGAAAUAAGAUAUUAGUAAACAUUCCAGGGCGUUGA